CUUGAUCUUGCUAUCCUGGCCUGGCUGGUGUUGAAUUCCUGGACUCAAGUCAUCCUCCUGCCUCGGCCCCUCCAAGUGCUGGGAUUACAGCAUGAGCCACCAUGCCCAACUCACUUGCAUCUUAACCAGCUGCUUUCUUGGUGCUGAUGGCCCUGCCCCAUGAGACCAAAGCUCCACCUGUGAAGCAACAACUCAUCUGCCUUUCUGGAUCAUGCUAGCAUGGGUGUCACGUGGACUCUCUGUGGCUCCUCAGGUCUCAGCAACAAUAGGGAAACCUUGGAACAAGAUACGCAGGAUGCAGGCAGGAGGCAAGGUGCUGUCGGGCUGGAUCAGAGUCCAUGCAGGGGUGGCUGAGUGGCCAAGGGCCACAGAGGUGGGUGAGGUCAACAAAAGGCCAGUGAGAGUCGUCUGGAACAUGGCCAGUGGUGGGGUGUGACUUCUGGAAAGUUUUUUUAAAAGAAGACCAGCCCCUCUUCCUCCUGCUUCCUCCCUGGAAUGGAGACAUGAUGGCUGCUGAAGCUCCUUCCAUCUUGCACCAUGAGGUGAGUUUGAGGAUGAAAGCCAGCGACCAAAGAUGAAGAGCAAGAAGUCUCAAGGAGCCUGGGUCCUUGGCACUGCACAGCGCCACUGGGCUCAUGUCAUCAUCCAUCCUUCUAAUAUGGCAGAAAAAAUAAGCUUCUAAUUUGCUUAAGGGACUCUCACUGGGUGUCUGUGACUAGUAGCUGAAUGCAAUAUCUAAACGACGCAAUCACUGUCUGAAAACAUCCUUUUUUGUUUCUCUUUUUUAACCUAUGGGCCAAUAAAAUAACAUAAGCCCUUCUUUAAGAGAGGAAAAUAUGAAAUCAGACACAAUUUGAACAGAGUCAGCUUUAAUGAAACGAUGAAGCAAAUCACUUGGAGUUAAAGUGCUUUUGUUUAUUCCAGUGCUAUUCUAUAAAAUGCCUUGCUCUGUGCUGAUAAGGAAGCUGAAUUAAUGGCUUAGUGAACUAAACAAUUUGAAAAAACGAUUUGCUAACUAAUCAGAUUGAAGCAAAGGGCUCAAGUCACAUAAAUUUGACUCUUCUCUUUCCUCCUUCAUAAGUCAGAGGUUCCUUCCCUGCUAUCAAAUGCAAAGAGAUAAGGGCCCUCUUACAAAAUUAUUUUGCUACAAAGCCCAUCUUUACCCUAUUAAAAUGUAUGCUUCCUGUGUUUAUGGAGGUCAAAGUUUGUGAAACAAUGUUUGAGUUAAUAGUGGGAAAUGAGGAAACAUGGCGAAUGUAAGUUUAGGGAUAACAUAGGAAUUUAACUUAAUGUUAAUUUUUGUGUAUAUAACUAGCUUAAAAUGAACUCACUAUUUUUCUUUCCCAUUUCCUGUCUUCAGUUGAGUUGUUUGUUUUAUACUUACUACACAAAUUAUAGUUGAACUUUUGAUAUUUUUAAGGAAGCUAUUACUAUGUAUUAAAUGAGUGCUGCAGUUAUUUUAACAAGCUGGAAUCAAAUAAUAAUGCACCUGACAGGUUGGAAACCCACGUCUAUGUGAUAUUUCAUUCUUCCACACUACUUCAGCAUCCCCCUACAAGAAAAGCCCUCGUAUUUGUAUAGAAAAUCGCCCUCAACCCCCAAGAAUGUCCAUUCCCUUACAGGAUAUCUCUAAUCAACUGUUACAAUUUUUUCCCAUAGGGCCUUCCCACAGAUUCAUCAUUCUUCUCAAUACAGAGCUCAGGGUGGCAUUCACCAAUCAACUGGCAUUUCCAUGAAAGAUGACACCUAUUUGCCAUCCCUGAUACACCUGUGCAUGUGUAUGUGUGUUUUUAAAUCAUUAAAUUAUAAACUGUAAAAGAGAGACAUGAGAAUACAUCCAUCUUACUUCACUAAAACUUGUUACCUGAGGCUGCGUGCAGUGGCUCACACCUGUAAUCCCAGCAUUUUGGAAGGCUGAGGCUGGAGGAUUGAUUGAGGCCAGGAGUUCAAGACCAGCCUGGGCAAAAUAGUGAGGGUCCAUCUCUACAAAAAAAUUUUAAAAAUUAGCCAAGUGUGGUGGCAUUCACCUGUAGUUUUAGCUACCCAAGAGGCUGAGGUGGGAGGAUCGCUUCAGCCCAGGAGGCCAAGGCUGCAGUGAGCCGUGAUAGCAACACCGCACUGCAGCCUGGGUGACAGAGAAAGAUCCUGUCUCUUAAAAAAUAAUUUUUUUUAACCUGACUUAUCAGAAGAUGAUCCAGCUAACCCAUCAGUACUUAUGAACAAGUUCUAUAGAAAUAUCCAUCUCCAGGGGCCUCUAUUGUGCCCCUCAGACCAGUCCGUAGCUGAUUACUGUCCACCGACUCUAAGGCAGAGUCCACAACCACCAUAAUUGUAUGCAACUCCUAACAUAUUUGUUCACAAGGUUAUUCAAAAUGUAAUGUGUUUAUGAAUAAAUAGGCAUGGCCAAGAAUCAUACUUGUCCUGUGAAAUACUUACCUGAGGAGCUCAGGCCUAAGGUUUAUCAGUAAGGAAACCAUUGUAAUCUUGGAUGGAAUAUCCAAGAAGCUAAGAGGCCCAUUCUUAUUUUGUCAUAGCAAAGAGUUGCCCCGUAAAAUAGGAGAACAGAUUCCAUUUUAGGGCCAACCUUCUGCGGUCAUGACCAUAGAACACAAAAUGUAAAUAAACUGGCAGUGUUGCCAGGCCUCCAGUCGCAGAGGUCCCUCAGCAUUCUGAAAGUGAUUGAUUUCAAUCUUUCUGUAGUUCUUCAUCAAGCUUCAGUUUGUUAUUGUGGUUGUUGUUUCUCUAAGCGUAUAAUACCUUUCCAGGGCAGGAGUGGUUUAACUCAACAGUAUGUUCCGGGAUCUAGUCACAAAAAUGAAAUCUACAAAUAUAUCAGCAUUGGACCCUGGAAUGGAUACAAAAGGGUCAGGGAGCCUCCUGGAGUCCAUUAGGAUCUGAUUGUCCCCAGCCCCCAAUCCACUUCAUACAUCAGUAAACAUGUCCCAAACAGACAAGUCAGUGCCCACUCAGGGUCUCCCGACUCAAUCGAUUCUAAGUGCUUUCCAAGAUACUUCUCAUGUUUUUAAAAUGAGGUAUAAAUUGAAUAAAAAUCUCAAUGGGCCUUUUCCAGUUUUAACUUCAUGUGUGCUGCUUUAACUUGAAAAGAAUUUCUUUCCUCCUAUUUGAGUCUUUGAAACUAGAAACAAAGGGGGUGUUACCCAAGUUUUCCAGGAAAAAAUGUGAUUCAAGAAGGGGUUGUAUGUAUUAUCUUCAGAAUAUGAGAAUGUACACAACACAUAUUACACAUACGCAUACAAAAUACACACUAACACACCCACAAUUAUUGUGAACAAUUAUACACUAUGUUUUCAUAUUUUAUAUAUGCAUGUGGC
rnacentral:lncRNA from 10 species